CAUUAUACAGCGAAACUGCGAAUGGCUCAUUAAAUCAGUUAUCGUUUAUUUGAUAGUACCUUACUACUUGGAUAACCGUGGUAAUUCUAGAGCUAAUACAUGCUAAAAACCCCGACUCACGAAGGGGUGUAUUUAUUAGAUUAAAAACCAAUGCCCUUCGGGGCUCUUUGGUGAUUCAUAAUAACUUUUCGAAUCGCAUGGCCUUGCGCCGGCGAUGGUUCAUUCAAAUUUCUGCCCUAUCAACUUUCGAUGGCAGGGUCUUGGCCUGCCAUGGUUACAACGGGUAACGGAGGGUUAGGGCUCGACCCCGGAGAAGGAGCCUGAGAAACGGCUACUACAUCCAAGGAAGGCAGCAGGCGCGCAAAUUACCCAAUCCCGAUUCGGGGAGGUAGUGACAAUAAAUACUGAUACAGGGCUCUUUUGGGUCUUGUAAUUGGAAUGAGUACAAUUUAAAUCCCUUAACGAGGAACAAUUGGAGGGCAAGUCUGGUGCCAGCAGCCGCGGUAAUUCCAGCUCCAAUAGCGUAUAUUAAAGUUGUUGCAGUUAAAAAGCUCGUAGUUGAACCUUGGGCCUGGCUGGCCGGUCCGCCUCACCGCGUGCACUGGUUCGGCCGGGCCUUUCCCUCUGGGGAACCUCAUGGUCUUCACUGAUCGUGAUGGGGAACCAGGACUUUUACUGUGAAAAAAUUAGAGUGUUCAAAGCAGGCCUAUGCUCGAAUACAUUAGCAUGGAAUAAUAAAAUAGGACGUGUGGUUCUAUUUUGUUGGUUUCUAGGACCGCCGUAAUGAUUAAUAGGGACAGUCGGGGGCAUCAGUAUUCAAUUGUCAGAGGUGAAAUUCUUGGAUUUAUUGAAGACUAACUACUGCGAAAGCAUUUGCCAAGGAUGUUUUCAUUAAUCAGGAACGAAAGUUAGGGGAUCGAAGACGAUCAGAUACCGUCGUAGUCUUAACCAUAAACUAUGCCGACUAGGGAUCGGACGGUGUUACUUAUUGACCCGUUCGGCACCUUACGAGAA
rnacentral:rRNA from 1 species